GUAUUGUAUUGCGUUAAACGCGUCACAUUCCAUGAAACUUUAUUACAGUGUGUGUGUAAAGACAUAGAACCACAGCAAAGAGGACAGAGUCCCCCAGGCCAUAGAACUACAGAGGGUGCACAGGUGUGAGUGGAUGUGUAAACAGAGCGUGCACAUGCCCCCGUUUGAGGACCAGCAACAACUCGUGUUGACAAUUCAGUAAUGAUCCUUCCGCAGGUUCACCUACGGAAA
rnacentral:misc_RNA from 1 species